CCUAGGCUACUUAUAUGUCUCCACUCCAUGUGUUCUAUGGAGAGAUUGCCGACCCCGGGGGGAGAUGCCAUGCCCCAGGGGAUCGGGGGUGUCUCUCCCCACAUUCUCAAAAUAAAGGUCAUUUAUAUUGUAUACAUUUAUACUUAUCUAUAAAUGUAUAUAGUAUAUAUACAUUAUAAAUACUUAUAUAUAAAUGUAUAUAGUAUACAUUUAUACUUAUCUUUUCAGCCGCUGCCGGUCCCCCACAGUUCUAUAAUAUCAUUCCCUGAGCAGAGGAGAGACUCCUGGGGCUCUCCCAGUUUGAGUCCCCUGCCGUUCAGGACCAGGACUGGACUACAUCCUGCAUUAAUUCCUCACUUCUACACUCGGGAGCUGUAAACUUGUCACUGCUGGCUCGCAAACAACACCGACCCAAUUUACCACAGACUAACAUACGUGCAUUCACCAAUGAAGUUGUCCUGGCUAAAACACCUGGCAACAGCCUCUACCUGGGCAUCAACCAUCAUCCCAUCGACUCCCCUAGACUCCAGCACAACGCCCCUUUCCAGCAGGAAGCAGUAAAAAAAGAAAUCUUCGCCCCUUUUCAUAAUAAUAAUAAUAAGACAGGAUAUGAAAGAGUUUUGGCCCAGACUGGACACUGAAGCCGGUAAAGCCUCAGGUGGAACCAAGGAACUCCAUCUUCCCCACCCCUAGGAAUUUACCUGUGACUGUAUCUUCCCCACCCCUAGGAAUUUAUUUCUGGCACCAAAUGAGUGCCAAUGGGCUACCUGUGCAUCAUGGGUUCCACCUCAAACCUAGGCUACUUAUAUGCCUCCACUCCAUGUGUUCCACGGAGAGACUGCCGACCCCGGGGGGAGAUGCCGUGCCCCAGGGGAUCGGGGGUGUCUCUCCCUGCAUUCUCAAAAUAAAGGUCAUUUAUAUUU